GUUCUUCCGAUGGGUCCAGUGGAAGUUUUUUCAGAGCGACAUUGUCGAAUUGAAGGUUCUCCAAGGUGAACGUCAAUGUCCUACACUGACCACCAGAUGGCGCUGAUGUACCGGGUUCAGAAGUCAACCCUUUGGCUGGAGACCGUAUCACCCCCCCACCACCUGAUUUUUGCCUCCGUGUGUUUAAAGCUGUAGUGUCAGUAGCUUGGUCUG